UUCCUGGUGGUCCAAUAGCUAGGACUCCACACUCCCAAUGCAGGGACACAGGUUCAAUCCCUGGUCAGGGAA
rnacentral:tRNA from 1 species